rnacentral:rRNA from 1 species
CCCUUAGAUGUCCUGGGCCGCACGCGCGCUACACUGAUGCAUUCAACGAGUUUUACCUUGGCCGAGAGGCCUGGGCAAUCUUUUGAACGUGCAUCGUGAUAGGGAUAGAUUAUUGCAAUUUUUAAUCUUGAACGAGGAAUUCCUAGUAAACGCAGAUCAUCAAUCUGCAUUGAUUACGUCCCUGCCCUUUGUACACACCGCCCGUCGCACCUACCGAUUGAAUGGUCCGGUGAAGCCUCGGGAUUGUGAUGAGUUCCCUUUAUUGGGAGUUUGUUGCGAGAACUUGUCUAAACCUUAUCAUUUAGAGGAAGGUGAAGUCGUAACA